rnacentral:rRNA from 1 species
UAAUACGAAGGGGGCGAGCGUUGUUCGGAAUUACUGGGCGUAAAGGGCGCGUAGGCGGUUUGCCAAGUCAGGCGUGAAAGCCCCGGGCUCAACCUGGGAACGGCGCUUGGGACUGGCAGGCUCGAGUUCGGGAGAGGACGGUGGAAUUCCCAGUGUAGAGGUGAAAUUCGUAGAUAUUGGGAAGAACACCGAUGGCGAAGGCAGCCGUCUGGACCGACACUGACGCUGAGGCGCGAAAGCGUGGGGAGCAAACAGGAUUAGAUACCCUGGUAGUCCACGCCGUAAACGAUGAGUGCUAGACGUCGGGGGCCUUGGGCCUUCGGUGUCGCAGCUAACGCGUUAAGCACUCCGCCUGGGGAGUACGGCCGCAAGGUUA